rnacentral:rRNA from 1 species
UACGUGGGGGCAAGCGUUGUCCGGAAUGAUUGGGCGUAAAGGGCGCGUAGGCGGUUUUGUAAGUCUGGAGUGAAAGUCCUCCUUUCAAGGGAGGAAUUGCUUUGGAAACUAUAGAGCUUGAGUGCAGGAGAGGUUAUCGGAAUUCCCGGUGUAGCGGUGAAAUGCGUAGAUAUCGGGAGGAACAUCGGUGGCGAAGGCGGGUAACUGGACUGCAACUGACGCUGAGGCGCGAAAGUGUGGGGAGCAAACAGGAUUAGAUACCCUGGUAGUCCCUGAG